rnacentral:rRNA from 1 species
GACGAACGCUGGCGGCGUGCUUAACACAUGCAAGUCGAACGGAAAGGCCCUGCUUUUGUGGGGUGCUCGAGUGGCGAACGGGUGAGUAACACGUGAGUAACCUGCCCUUGACUUUGGGAUAACUUCAGGAAACUGGGGCUAAUACCGGAUAGGAGCUCCUGCUGCAUGGUGGGGGUUGGAAAGUUUCGGCGGUUGGGGAUGGACUCGCGGCUUAUCAGCUUGUUGGUGGGGUAGUGGCUUACCAAGGCUUUGACGGGUAGCCGGCCUGAGAGGGUGACCGGACACAUUGGGAAUGAGAUACGGCCCAGACUCCUAAGGGAGGCAGCAGGGGGGAAUAUUGCACAAUGGGCGGAAGCCUGAUGCAGCAAAGCCGCGGGCGGGAUGAAGGCCUUCGGGUUGUAAACCGCUUUCGCCUGUGACGAAGCGUGAGUGACGGUAAUGGGUAAAGAAGCACCGGCUAACUACGUG